rnacentral:piRNA from 1 species
UGUUUAUAUCUUAUUCUAACU